rnacentral:tRNA from 1 species
CAGGGUAUGGUGAAGCGGUAUCAUUCAUGGUUUGGAAUCAUGCGUUGUAGGUUCAACUCCUACUACCCUGA